UGAGAUUCUUCUCAGCCUCUCUGGGCAGCAUUCCUUCCUUACAUGAGUCAGGACCCUCUCUGGAAUGGGGGUCUUCUGACCUAUGAUCAAACAAAGGUUAACAAAAUCGAGAAAGGAGAUGGCUUUCCCUCAAAACCCCUCUCCCCAUCCCCACGCAGAAUUAACCACACCGUCCCCUCUGGAAGAGGACACGGCGCACCAUGUCCUCCGCAUGGGACGCCCGCGGAGACCCCCCGGCCUCCGGGUGCUUGCGGAAUUCCAGGGCUGAGCUAGGUGGAGCCCCGAGGGCGGGAAGAAGCCACCAUGGGAGUUGCCCCUGCGUCGGGGCGUGUCCUCGGUGUUUCCACCCGAAAAGUGGUGACAACUGGGGCUUGCCUGCUCCACCGAGCUCCUGCCAGGGGCGUGGGCGUCCGACCCUUCUGGCUCAGGCUCCGCGAGUGCGCAAAAGUUGGGAGGCUUCAGUGCCUGGCAGUGGGUGGACGCCAAAGACCUGAUCUCUACUCAUAGGUUCACCCCAGCUCAGGGGGUGUCCCCCAGCAAACGACUUCCCUGCUCUGGGCCUCGAUUUACCCAUCUGUAAAAUAAAAGGGUGAGAUUGGAACCUGGUGGUCACUAGCCCGCCGCUAAAUUUCCUUCCAGCUCCCUGAUACACUUUCUCAGCCUAUGAAGACUAUCGAAUGGGUUAUUUACCUGAGAGUGCUUUGAAAAAAUGUAAGCUGCUUCCAAGAUGCUUAUAACUGAGUAGAUAAAAAUCGCCUACAGACGAAACUACUCAGGACAUCCAAAAAAAUUCUAUCUAAAGUAACAGUAUACAUAGUUUAGUACAUGUUUAUAUACCCUGUACAGUAACAUGUAUAAUGUAAACUGUAAUACUUAGCAUAUAUAACGUUUUUUAAAAACACAAGAGAUGAUAAAAUGAAACUGUGCCUAUAGUUGUGAUCAUGUGAGCUGUCCUUGUAGAAUCUAACUCCCGCUGGAAAUAUAUUCUGAGCACAGCUGUACACACAAUUGCUAAAAGGUGUCUACCUCUAGUAUUCAUUCAUUCAUUCAUUCCACCAAUAUUUAUGAAGAAAAUACUAAUUUUAAAAAUUCUCAAUACUAUUAUUAUUAUUUUUGUAGAGACAGGGCCUUGCUAUGUUGCCCAGGGUAGUCUUGAACUUCUGUCUCAAGCCAUCCUUCCCCCUCAGCCUCUCAAAGUGCUGGGAUUACGGGUGUGGGCCACCAUGCCUGGCCAAUUGAGCAAAUACUGUAUGUGAGGAAAUAGACUGAAGAUUCAGAGUUGAACUUUCUACUGGGGAAGAUCAUAAACAAAUAAAGUAAUAAACAUACAAUAUAAUGUUGGGUAGUGAAAAGUGCUUUGAAAAAGAUAAAGCAGAGUAAGGGGCUAGAGAGAGAUGGGUUGGUGCUUCUUAAGAGAGGGUGGUCAGGGAAGUCAUCCCUAAGAAGGUUUGAGCAGAGAGUCUCGUGAAUUUUGUGACAGGACUGCAGGACGAUGCCUGGGUCCGGUGAGGAAAGGAGCUCCCCAUGCAGCAAGGAGAUAUGUGGCAAAAGCCAGGGAGGUCCCAUGUGGAGAAGAAGAUUAGUCUUUAGGUGGUGGGGCACGACAACUGCCUUCAAAUUCUUGCAGAAUAGUCAUAUAGAACAGUGGCUUUCAAACCUUUUGACUGUGACUCAUGGUAAAUGCAUUUUAUAUUGUGACCCAGCAUGCACACACGCAUAUGACAAACUAAAACUUCACAAAAGACUACAGACUAUGACUUGCAUUUUGAAAAUCACCAAUGUGGAAGAGAAAUGAGACUUACUUUGAGUUGGUUCCAAGGGUGGGAAUUAGGACGGAUAGAAAAAGAAAAAAAGAGAGAGAGAAUCAGCUUUGAUACAGGAAGGAACUUUCUAGCAAUUAGAACUGUCCAACAGUGAACUUCCCCCAGGAGUUUUUAAACUGUGUUCUGAUGAAACCUAGCAUUCUGUGAAUAUUCAAGAGAGUCAAAUAUUUGCCCCCACCCAGCCAUCCCUUAUUUGCUUUAUAUUUUGAAAACUAUAUGCAAUAUUGUAACUUCAGAAACCCAACCAGGUAAGGCACGGUGGCUCACUGUAAUCCCAGUGCUUUGGGAAGCUGAGGUGAGAAGAUCACUUGAGGCUAGGAUUUCGAGACCAUCCUGGGCAGCAUAGGUGAGACAUUGUCUUUACAAAAAAUUUUAAAACUAGCCAGGUGUGGUGGCAGGUGUCUGUAGUCCUAGCUACUCUGGAGGCUGAGGUGGGAGGAUCACUUGAGCCUAGGAGUUUGAGGUUGCAGUAAGCUAUGAUUGCACCACUGCACUCUAGCAAGUGGACGACACAGCAAGAUCCUAUUUCUAAAAAUAAUAAUAACAAACCAAUCAUACCCACUCGGGUGCUAAAUGUCAAAAUUUAGCAAGUUAAUAUUUAGUGUGUGCUGCCUGAGAGGUUAUUAUAGAGGUUAAGGAGUGAGUAGAAGUCAGACUUCCUGAGUUCAAAGCCUGAUUCCACUUUUCUUCUAAUGUGACUUUGGGCAAGUCACUUAACCCCCCACCAAACUUAAGUUUUCUCAUCUGUAAAAAGUGGGGAUUAUACCUCACUGGAUUAUUAUAAAAAUUGCAUAAGG
rnacentral:lncRNA from 1 species